rnacentral:lncRNA from 1 species
GUUUAAUUGGAUUUAGGGAAUCGCUUUGGGGGCAUGUGACCCUGCAUACAAACUUCCCUCCCUCCACAAAAGGUUAUGAAAAGACAGAACUACCCUUCUUGCCCUGCUGUAUUGGGACACAGUAAACAGACAUUGGCAGCAGCAUGGCUAUGAAAAGAAGUGUUGUUGGUAGGUGCAUCCAUUUUCAUGUUGUCACAAAGCCCAGACUCUAAUGGGAACAAAUGUGGUAUUAUAAUG